rnacentral:rRNA from 1 species
UACGGGGGGUGCGAGCGUUGUCCGGAAUCACUGGGCGUAAAGGGCGCGUAGGUGGUUUGAUAAGGGUGUGGUGAAAGUCCGGAGCUCAACUCCGGAUCUGCCGUGCCGACUGUCAAACUCGAGGGCUGUAGAGGCAGACGGAAUUCCGGGUGUAGCGGUGGAAUGCGUAGAGAUCCGGAGGAAGACCGGUGGCGAAGGCGGCCUGCUGGGCAGUUACUGACACUGAGGCGCGACAGCGUGGGGAGCAAACAGG